CGAGGUCUUUUGGACGCAAGUUGCGCCCGAGGCCACUCGGCCGAGGGCACGCCUGCCUGGGCGUCACGCCAAAACACGCUCCCAACCCCCUCAUCGGGAAUCAGGAUGCGGCAUCUGGUCCCUCGUCUCGCAAGGGGCGGUGGACCGAAGAUCGGGCUGCCGGCGUACCGCGCCGGACACAGCGCAUGGUGGGCGUCCUCGCUUUAUCAACGCAGUGCAUCCGACGCGCAGCCGGCAUGACGGCCUCAAAAUGACCCAGCAAACGAAGCGCACGUCGCUUCGACCGCGACCCCAGGUCAGGCGGGACUACCCGCUGAGUUUAAGCAUAUAAAUAAGCGGAGGAGAAGAAACUUACAAGGAUUCCCCUAGUAACGGCGAGCGAACCGGGAGCAGCCCAGCUUGAGAAUCGGGCGGCCGUGCCGUCCGAAUUGUAGUG
rnacentral:rRNA from 1 species